rnacentral:lncRNA from 1 species
GCCGUUGUCGAACAUGUCCUCGGACUGCGGGUCCAGGGUCCAGUAGUUGCCCUUGCCCGGGUUGCCCGGCUCGCGGGGGAUCUUGACGAAGCAGUCGUUGAGUGAGAGGUUGUGGCGGAUGCUGUUCUGCCAGGCGGGGAACUUCUCCCUGUAGUAGGGGAAGCGGUUGCUGAUGAACUCGCAGAUGCCGCUCAGGGUCAGCUUCUUCUGCGGGCUCUGCAGGAUGGCCAUGGUGAUGAGCGCGAUGUACGACCCGUCGUCGCCCUCGCCCACCACAUCGAUGUCCACGUCCUCGGCCGUCAGCACCGUCUGGCCGGACAUGUCGCUGGCGCUGCCGCCGCCGGAGAGGGUCAUCCCUCCUCGGGAUCCAGCGGGAGGCGGGGCCACGUGACCGUGCGUGACGUCAGGGCCGCGGCCGAGCCGGCCAAACUCAAGUUGGUUCAGGGAAUUGUCAACAAAGGGACGAGAGACGCGCAACUCCGCUCCGCACUGUGCGCCAGCAUCCCCGGGGCACGGAGGGCGCUGCGGCCCGCCCGGAGACCCCCCCACCCAGGCUGGAUCCGGGCCCUGGGGCCCAGGGAGCGGCUUUAAAGAGUAAGAGCAGCGCACCCGGCUCCCUCCUGCUAAUUAGAUUUCAGAUUCCCCUCUGGCCUCAGUGCUCAUUCCGGGGAAGACACCUGCUGAGAUGUCUUUUUCCCCCUCCCCCAACCAAACCACUCAGGUCCUACCUGCUCUUUCCCGGCUUGAUGCGGGCGUGUUUUCCUGUAUGUAUUUUUUCGUGCGGCCACAAAAAGCAUCAGCUGGGGUUCCCGAAGGUCAGAAAAUGGCUAUUGAUUAAUCUACUAGAAUAGUUGCCGAGAGAAAUAAAAACGACGUAAAAUAGCAGGGAACCUAUAAAUAAAGAAGCCAUAACUGGCUACUUGGAGUUGUUAAACGACUUAGCAUAUGAAAAAAUCGGAAAUGAGGCGCUGGGGAAGGAGCUGGGAUUGGCAGCGGCCUGGGUAAGUCGAGUGGAUCCGGGAAGAGGCCUGGUGUCUUCAGGUGUGGACAAAUCCUCCAAGAUUUAACUUCCAAGAAAACCGGCGGCGGAGCGGGUGGAGGAGGCGAGGAUGUGUGGCCAAUGCACGCGGAGUGCAAGGCCGCCUAGUUGGGAGCCGCAAGAGCCUGCCUGGUGUGGCAGGCACACGGAACCCAAUCCCUGUCUGUCCGCUGCGGCCUGGGAGGGGAGCGCCGGCCUCACCAGAGGAAGGAGCACGAGGGGAGGAGUUCCGAGAGGAAAUAAUUAGUGAAAUAUUUGCAGAAGAUGCUGGGAUGUGGAUUUAAUUCCGGAUGGACAGUGGUGCUUCUGAUUCCCUCAGUCUGUUUCCCCACCCACGAUCUCCUCUUUCCUUGGCCUAGACACACCAAAAAUAAUUCAAUAAAAUAAAAAUAAAAAUUUAAAAAUCUGUAAACUUGCUUCAUUACAGGCAUUGAGACACACAGAUUGACUUUCAUCCCCAUUAGACAGUUUCCCAGGAUAUAACACUACUCAUCUGAGGCUGGGAGCAGGGUAGGGGGUGGUGACA